CCUACGGGAGGCAGCAGUGAGGAAUAUUGGUCAAUGGACGGAAGUCUGAACCAGCCAUGCCGCGUGCAGGAAGACGGCUCUAUGAGUUGUAAACUGCUUUUGUACAAGGGAAAAGCUGAAGAGGUGUAUUGAGCUGAAAGUACUGUACGAAUAAGGAACGGAAAAGCCCGUGCCAGCAGCCGCGGUAAUACGGAGGAUGCGAGCGUUAUCCGGAUUUAUUGGGGUUAAAGGGUGCGUAGGCGGAAUGCCAAGUCAGCGGUAAAAUCGCGUGGCUCAACCUCGCUCCGCCGUUGAAACUGGCGUUGUUGAGUGGGCGAGAAGUAUGCGGAAUGCGUGGUGUAGCGGUGAAAUGCAUAGAUAUCACGCAGAACUCCGAUUGCGAAGGCAGCAUACCGGCGCCCAACUGACGCUGAAGCACGAAAGCGUGGGUAUCGAACAGGAUUAGAUACCCCAGUAGUC
rnacentral:rRNA from 1 species